rnacentral:rRNA from 1 species
GAUGAACGCUGGCGGCGUGCCUAAUACAUGCAAGUCGAGCGAACAGAUAAGGAGCUUGCUCCUUUGACGUUAGCGGCGGACGGGUGAGUAACACGUGGGUAACCUACCUAUAAGACUGGGAUAACUUCGGGAAACCGGAGCUAAUACCGGAUAACAUUUGGAACCGCAUGGUUCUAAAGUGAAAGAUGGUUUUGCUAUCACUUAUAGAUGGACCCGCGCCGUAUUAGCUAGUUGGUAAGGUAACGGCUUACCAAGGCGACGAUACGUAGUCGACCUGAGAGGGUGAUCGGCCACACUGGAACUGAGACACGGUCCAGACUCCUACGGGAGGCAGCAGUAGGGAAUCUUCCGCAAUGGGCGAAAGCCUGACGGAGCAAUGCCGCGUGAGUGAUGAAGGGUUUCGGCUCGUAAAACUCUGUUAUUAGGGAAGAACAAACGUGUAAGUAACUGUGCACGUCUUGACGGUACCUAAUCAGAAAGCCACGGCUAACUACGUG